rnacentral:misc_RNA from 1 species
GAAACGCUGACCGACGCCUCGGUGGCCGAACUGUUCGCCGCUGACGAUACGCCGCAGCACGAGCCGGUGUCCGAACCGCCUGCGCGUGAACAUCCCCCUGCCUUCCUCCAGCCCGAGCCGGUGCUGCCGCGCGCCAAUGCCGCGCAGGAUUCGCAGUUGCUCGAUCGCCUGCCGGUCGGCGUGCUGGUGUAUCGGCUCGACCGGCUGAUCUACGCCAACAAGGCGUUUCUUGCGUCCACCGGAUACGACAACCCUCAUGCGCUGACCGAGGCCGGGGGGCUCCGUUGGG